GACGAACGCUGGCGGCGUGCUUAACACAUGCAAGUCGAACGGAAAGGCCCUGCUUGCAGGGUACUCGAGUGGCGAACGGGUGAGUAACACGUGGGUGAUCUGCCCUGCACUUCGGGAUAAGCCUGGGAAACUGGGUCUAAUACCGGAUAGGAGCCAUUUUUAGUGUGAUGGUCGGAAAGUUUUUUCGGUGUAGGAUGAGCUCGCGGCCUAUCAGCUUGUUGGUGGGGUAAUGGCCUACCAAGGCGGCGACGGGUAGCCGGCCUGAGAGGGUGGACGGCCACAUUGGGACUGAGAUACGGCCCAGACUCCUACGGGAGGCAGCAGUGGGGAAUAUUGCACAAGGGGCGCAAGCCUGAUGCAGCGACGCCGCGUGGGGGAUGACGGCCUUCGGGUUGUAAACUCCUUUCGCUAGGGACGAAGCUUUUUGUGACGGUACCUAGAUAAGAAGCACCGGCUAACUACGUG
rnacentral:rRNA from 1 species